AAAAGAAACUAACAAGGAUUCCCCUAGUAACUGCGAGUGAAGCGGGAAGAGCUCAAAUUUAAAAUCUGGCAGUUCUGCUGUCCGAGUUGUAAUCUGUAGAAGCAUUUUCUGCAUUGGACUGUGUACAAGUCUCUUGGAAUAGAGCGUCAUAGAGGGUGAGAAUCCCGUCCAUGACACAGAAUACCAAUGCUAUGUGAUAUGCUCUCAAAGAGUCGAGUUGUUUGGGAAUGCAGCUCAAAAUGGGUGGUAAAUUCCAUCUAAAGCUAAAUACAGGCAAGAGACCGAUAGCGAACAAGUACCGUGAGGGAAAGAUGAAAAGCACUUUGGAAAGAGAGUUAAACAGUAUGUGAAAUUGUUGAAAGGGAAACGCUUGAAGUCAGUCACAUUCUGCAGAACUCAGCCUUGCCUAUUAGGCCUGGUGUAUUUUCUGCAGGAUGGGUCAACAUCAAUUUUGGUCAGUGGAUAAAGGAGGAGGGAAUGUGGCACCUGUGAAGGUGUGUUAUAGCCUUCUUUCAUAUACAUUGACUGGGAUUGAGGACUGCAGCAUGCCCUUGUGGCCAGGCCUUCAUGUCACAUGCUUAGGAUGUUGACAAAAUGGCUUUAAGCGACCCGUCUUGAAACACGGACCAAGGAGUCUAACAUGCCUGCAAGUGUUUGGGUGGAAAACCCUUGCGCAUAAUGAAAGUGAAAGUUGGGAACCUCCGCAAGGGGGUGCACUGACACCCGGCCCUGAUGUUUACUGAUGGUGCUGCGGUAGAGCAUGUAUGUUGGGACCCGAAAGAUGGUGAACUAUGCCUGAAUAGGGUGAAGCCAGAGGAAACUCUGGUGGAGGCUCGUAGCGAUUCUGA
rnacentral:rRNA from 1 species